CGGACGGGUGAGUAAUGUCUGGGAAACUGCCCGAUGGAGGGGGAUAACUACUGGAAACGGUAGCUAAUACCGCAUAACGUCGCAAGACCAAAGAGGGGGACCUUCGGGCCUCUUGCUAUCGGAUGUGCCCAGAUGGGAUUAGCUAGUAGGUGGGGUAACGGCUCACCUAGGCGACGAUCCCUAGCUGGUCUGAGAGGAUGACCAGCCACACUGGAACUGAGACACGGUCCAGACUCCUACGGGAGGCAGCAGUGGGGAAUAUUGCACAAUGGGCGCAAGCCUGAUGCAGCCAUGCCGCGUGUAUGAAGAAGGCCUUCGGGUUGUAAAGUACUUUCAGCGGGGAGGAAAGGAGUAAAGUUAAUACCUUUGCUCAUUGACGUUACCCGCAGAAGAAGCACCGGCUAACUCCGUGCCAGCAGCCGCGGUAAUACGGAGGGUGCAAGCGUUAAUCGGAAUUACUGGGCGUAAAGCGCACGCAGGCGGUUUGUUAAGUCAGAUGUGAAAUCCCCGGGCUCAACCUGGGAACUGCAUCUGAUACUGGCAAGCUUGAGUCUCGUAGAGGGGGGUAGAAUUCCAGGUGUAGCGGUGAAAUGCGUAGAGAUCUGGAGGAAUACCGGUGGCGAAGGCGGCCCCCUGGACGAAGACUGACGCUCAGGUGCGAAAGCGUGGGGAGCAAACAGGAUU
rnacentral:rRNA from 1 species